UAAUACGUAGGUGGCAAGCGUUGUCCGGAUUUAUUGGGCGUAAAGCGCGCGCAGGUGGUUCGUUGCGUCCGAGGUGAAAUCUCCCGGCUCAACUGGGAGGGGUCUUCGGAUACGGGCGGACUAGAGGAGAGCAGAGGUAGGCGGAAUUCUGGGUGUAGUGGUGAAAUGCGUAGAUAUCCAGAGGAACACCAGUGGCGAAGGCGGCCUACUGGGCUCCACCUGAC
rnacentral:rRNA from 1 species